rnacentral:sRNA from 1 species
GCGUCCAGAUUCCUAGAACAACAAUCAAAGAACGUUUGAACGAAAGUCGCUAAGAGCUAGAAUGAAGUCUUUGAUUGUUCUCGCUGCCUUUACUGUAAUCUGCAGUGCCAAAUACAUUGUUGAUGGAAAAGGAAAGCUACCUUGUGAACCUUGCGACCAAGAUGAGAUUCCGUUGAUACAGUUUAAGCUUUUGAAUCCAGUGUGUGGACCGUGUGGGGAAAUGUACGGACCUUCUUUUGAAUAUUGCUGCAUGUGUGACCGUAAGAUCAGACGAGCAUGCGCAGAUGCCAUUCGGAAGUGAAGAAUGAAGAUACAUGUUCAUAAAAUUGAAAGCGAAGGAAUAUGUUUUAUCGAAAAUGUAUUUGAUCUCAUGUUACAGUGGCCAAUAAAGUUAUUUUUUAUUU